CUCGUGCAGUAACAAGAGACUAGAACAGGAAGAGCUGGGGUCGUGGAGGGAAGAAAUCAACCAACACAGCCAGGAACAGCAGUGUGAGGCAGGCAGAGCAGAUUGAAUGAGGCCAUCUGAUGAUCAACUGAUGUACACAACCUCUGUAAUCUGCCAGAAAUUGCUCUUCUCUGUGACAACAUUAAUAAUCUGUAUGUUGUGGUUGUAUAUGUGCACAGAUACCAAUAAUAAAUAAUACCCAAUAAAAGGUAUAAGGCUAUGUAAUAAAGGGUU